GGGGAAUAUUGGGCAAUGGGCGCAAGCCUGACCCAGCAACGCCGCGUGAGGGAAGAAGGUCUUCGGAUUGUAAACCUCUGUCCUUGGGGACGAAAAAAAUGACGGUACCCAAGGAGGAAGCUCCGGCUAACUACGUGCCAGCAGCCGCGGUAAUACGUAGGGAGCGAGCGUUGUCCGGAAUUACUGGGCGUAAAGGGUGCGUAGGCGGCCAGGCAAGUCAGAUGUGAAAUCCCCGGGCUUAACUCGGGAGUUGCAUUUGAAACUGCUUGGCUUGAGUGCAGGAGAGGAAAGCGGAAUUCCUAGUGUAGCGGUGAAAUGCGUAGAUAUUAGGAGGAACACCAGUGGCGAAGGCGGCUUUCUGGACUGUAACUGACGCUGAGGCACGAAAGCGUGGGGAGCAAACA
rnacentral:rRNA from 2 species